AGGAGACCCAGAGCUCUUGUUCCAGGAAUCAGCUCUCCAUCAUUACAUGGCAUCAGCACAAAGGCAGGUGGGCAGUGUGACUGAAGCCAGGCUGACACAGCACCCAGACCCAUGUGCACUGGAGGUUUGUAGACUAGGACUGCAGCCAUUCAGCAGAACACAUGAACACAGAAGUACUUUGCAGCUUGUGAAGACAGCUGAGCUGGGGGAAAGGAGGUUGCACUUGUGGACUCCAGGUAGGUUGUGUCUUGAUUUCCUUUGAAUGAAUUGUGUUAAUUCUGCUUGUUUCUCACUGUACUAAAUAUGUACUACACAGUGAACAGGACACAGAGGACAUCAGAGUUCUUGCCUGAAAAUAUUCAAGUGGUAAAAAAAAA